rnacentral:rRNA from 1 species
AAUUCAUCUCCGGGGGUAGAGCACUGUUUCGGCUAGGGGGCCAUCCCGGCUUACCAACCCGAUGCAAACUGCGAAUACCGGAGAAUGUUAUCACGGGAGACACACGGCGGGUGCUAACGUCCGUCGUGAAGAGGGAAACAACCCAGACCGCCAGCUAAGGUCCCAAAGUCAUGGUUAAGUGGGAAACGAUGUGGGAAGGCCCAGACAGCCAGGAUGUUGGCUUAGAAGCAGCCAUCAUUUAAAGAAAGCGUAAUAGCUCACUGGUCGAGUCGGCCUGCGCGGAAGAUGUAACGGGGCUAAACCAUGCACCGAAGCUGCGGCAGCGACGCUGAUGCGUUGUUGGGUAGGGGAGCGUUCUGUAAGCCUGUGAAGGUGGCCUGUGAGGG